CAAGAAUCAUUUUAUGUAGAAUUUAAGGCUCACACCAUGAGAUGGACCCCGUACCCAACACUGCUUUCAUGACCAAGAACCUGGGACUAGCUAGAUGAUAACCCGUGGGGACGAAGGAUCUUAAUCGAGGGCAACCGCCUAUAUCUGCAGGACUCGGUCACAUCAGAGGCCGGUGUGCAAAGGAUGGUUUGCGUGCCAAGCACCUAUCUGCUAGUCGUUCCUGGGUUUGGUUUUCUUAAAUAACUUAGGCUAAAGGUGCUGCCUUCAGAAAAAAAAUACCAUGGACAUAAACUUCAUUCCAAUUUUUAUAUUCUUUUUGAACUGCUGUACUGCUUUUUAAC